UGAGACUUCAGGUCAACUCCACG
rnacentral:piRNA from 1 species